rnacentral:rRNA from 1 species
UACAGAGGGUGCAAGCGUUGUUCGGAAUUAUUGGGCGGAAAGCGCGUGUAGGCGGUGAUGCAUGUCGGGUGUGAAAGCCCUCAGCUUAACUGAGGAAGUGCGCCCGAAACUGCAUCGCUGGAGUGUCGGAGAGGAAGGCGGAAUUCCCGGUGUAGAGGUGAAAUUCGUAGAUAUCGGGAGGAACACCAGUGGCGAAGGCGGCCUUCUGGACGAACACUGACGCUGAGACGCGAAAGCGUGGGUAGCAAACAGG